rnacentral:rRNA from 1 species
GAUGAACGCUGGCGGCGUGCCUAAUACAUGCAAGUCGAGCGAACGGACGAGAAGCUUGCUUCUCUGAUGUUAGCGGCGGACGGGUGAGUAACACGUGGAUAACCUACCUAUAAGACUGGGAUAACUUCGGGAAACCGUAGCUAAUACCGGAUAAUAUUUUGAACCGCAUGGUUCAAAAGUGAAAGACGGUCUUGCUGUCACUUAUAGAUGAUCCGCGCUGCAUUAGCUAGUUGGUAAGGUAACGGCUUACCAAGGCAACGAUGCAUAGCCGACCUGAGAGGGUGAUCGGCCACACUGGAACUGAGACACGGUCCAGACUCCUACGGGAGGCAGCAGUAGGGAAUCUUCCGCAAUGGGCGAAAGCCUGACGGAGCAACGCCGCGUGAGUGAUGAAGGUCUUCGGAUCGUAAAACUCUGUUAUUAGGGAAGAACAUAUGUGUAAGUAACUGUGCACAUCUUGACGGUACCUAAUCAGAAAGCCACGGCUAACUACGUG